AUUGAACGCUGGCGGAAUGCUUUACACAUGCAAGUCGAGCGGCAGCGCGGGGCAACCUGGCGGCGAGCGGCGAACGGGUGAGUAAUACAUCGGAACGUACCCAGUUGUGGGGGAUAGCCCGGCGAAAGCCGGAUUAAUACCGCAUGAGACCUGAGGGUGAAAGCGGGGGAUCGCAAGACCUCGCGCUAUUGGAGCGGCCGAUAUCAGAUUAGCUAGUUGGUGGGGUAAAGGCCUACCAAGGCAACGAUCUGUAGUUGGUCUGAGAGGACGACCAGCCACACUGGGACUGAGACACGGCCCAGACUCCUACGGGAGGCAGCAGUGGGGAAUUUUGGACAAUGGGCGCAAGCCUGAUCCAGCAAUGCCGCGUGCAGGAAGAAGGCC
rnacentral:rRNA from 1 species